rnacentral:rRNA from 1 species
UACGGGGGGGGCAAGCGUUGUUCGGAAUUACUGGGCGUAAAGGGCUCGUAGGCGGCCAACUAAGUCGGACGUGAAAUCCCUCGGCUUAACCGGGGAACUGCGUCCGAUACUGGAUGGCUUGAGUUCGGGAGAGGGAUGCGGAAUUCCAGGUGUAGCGGUGAAAUGCGUAGAUAUUCGGAAGAACACCGGUGGCGAAGGCGACCUUCUGGGCCGCAACUGACGCUGAGGUGCGAAAGCGUGGGGAGCAAACAGG